rnacentral:rRNA from 1 species
UACGUAGGGUGCGAGCGUUGUCCGGAAUUACUGGGCGUAAAGAGCUCGUAGGCGGUCUGUCGCGUCCGUUGUGAAAACUCGAGGCUCAACCUCGGGCUUGCAGUGGAUACGGGCAGACUAGAGUGCGGUAGGGGAGACUGGAAUUCCUGGUGUAGCGGUGGAAUGCGCAGAUAUCAGGAGGAACACCGAUGGCGAAGGCAGGUCUCUGGGCCGCAACUGACGCUGAGGAGCGAAAGCAUGGGGAGCGAACAGG